rnacentral:rRNA from 1 species
CCUACGGGGGGCUGCAGUGGGGAAUAUUGGACAAUGGGCGAAAGCCUGAUCCAGCCAUGCCGCAUGUGUGAAGAAGGCCUUCGGGUUGUAAAGCACUUUCAGUGGGGAAGAAAGCCUUGGGGCUAAUACCCUCGAGGAAGGACAUCACCCACAGAAGAAGCACCGGCUAACUCCGUGCCAGCAGCCGCGGUAAUACGGAGGGUGCGAGCGUUAAUCGGAAUUACUGGGCGUAAAGCGCGCGUAGGCGGUCUGAUAAGCCGGUUGUGAAAGCCCCGGGCUCAACCUGGGAACGGCAUCCGGAACUGUCAGGCUAGAGUGCAGGAGAGGAAGGUAGAAUUCCCGGUGUAGCGGUGAAAUGCGUAGAGAUCGGGAGGAAUACCAGUGGCGAAGGCGGCCUUCUGGACUGACACUGACGCUGAGGUGCGAAAGCGUGGGUAGCAAACAGGAUUAGAUACCCCAGUAGUC